rnacentral:tRNA from 1 species
AUACCCGUAGCUCAAUCGGUAGAGCGCCGGUCUCCAAAACCGGUGGUUGGGGGUUCGAAUCCCCCGGGUAUGCCA